rnacentral:misc_RNA from 1 species
GAAAUGCGAUAAGUAAUGUGAAUUGCAGAAUUCAGUGAAUCAUCGAAUCUUUGAACGCACAUUGCGCUCGCCAGUAUUCUGGCGAGCAUGCCUGUUCGAGCGUCAUUUCAACCAUCAAGCUCUGCUUGCGUUGGGGAUCCGCGGCUGCCCGCGGUCCCUCAAAAACAGUGGCGGGCUCGCUAGUCACACCGAGCGUAGUAACUCUACAUCGCUAUGGUCGUGCGGCGGGUUCUUGCCGUAACACCCCCAAUUUCUAAGGUUGACCUCGGAUCAGGUAGGAAUACCCGCUGAACUUAAGC